UUAAGUUAACAAGGGCGCAUGGUGAAUGCCUUGGCACUAGGAGCCGAUGAAGGACGGGACUAACACCGAUAUGCUUCGGGGAGCUGUACGUAAGCUAUGAUCCGGAGAUUUCCGAAUGGGGCAACCCAGCAGUUUUAAUCAACUGUUACCACUAGAUGAAUUCAUAGUCUAGUUGGAGGUAAACGCUGUGAACUGAAACAUCUCAUUAGCAGCAGGAAUAUAAAGAAAUUUCGAUUCCCUAAGUAGCGGCGAGCGAACGGGGAACAGCCCAAACCAAAGUGCUUGCACUUUGGGGUUGUAGGACUGAACAUUUGAGUUACCAAAGAACUUGAUAGUCGAAGGAUUUGGGAAAAUCCGCCAUAGAUGGUGAUAGCCCAGUAGAUUAAAUCAAAUUCUCUCAGUUCAGGAUCCUGAGUACGGCGGAACACGUGAAAUUCCGUCGGAAUCCGGGAGGACCAUCUCCCAAGGCUAAAUACUACCUAGUGACCGAUAGUGAACCAGUACCGUGAGGGAAAGGUGAAAAGCACCCCGGGAGGGGAGUGAAAUAGUUCCUGAAACCAUGUGCCUACAAUAAGUCAGAGCGCGUUAAUGCGUGAUGGCGUGCCUUUUGUAGAAUGAACCGGCGAGUUAUGAUCCCGUGCAAGGUUAAGACUAAAAAGUCGGAGCCGUAGCGAAAGCGAGUCUGAAAUGGGCGUUUUGAGUACGAGGUUAUAGACCCGAAACCAGGUGACCUAUCCAUGUCCAGGUUGAAGGUGCGGUAAAACGCACUGGAGGACCGAACCCGUGUAAGUUGAAAAUUGCUGGGAUGAGGUGUGGAUAGCGGUGAAAUUCCAAACGAACUUGGAGAUAGCUGGUUCUCUCCGAAAUAGCUUUAGGGCUAGCCUCGGAAUUAGGAUCAUGGAGGUAGAGCACUAUUUGGACUAGGGGCCCGUCUUGGGUUACUGAAUUCAGAUAAACUCCGAAUGCCAUUGAUUCAUAUCCGGGAGUCAGACGAUGAGUGAUAAGAUCCACCGUCGAAAGGGGAACAGCCCAGACCAUCAGUUAAGGUCCCUAAAUGUAUGCUAAGUGGAAAAGGAUGUGGAGUUGCAUAGACAACUAGGAUGUUGGCUCAGAAGCAGCCACCAUUUAAAGAGUGCGUAAUAGCUCACUAGUCGAGUGAUCCUGCGCCGAAAAUGUACCGGGGCUAAGCAUACUACCGAAACCAUGGAUGCGACCAUUAGGUCGCGUGAUAGGAGAGCGUUCUAAGGGCGGUGAAGCAAGAUCGUGAGGACUUGUGGAGCGCUUAGAAGUGAGAAUGCCGGUAUGAGUAGCGAAAGAUAGGUGAGAAUCCUAUCCACCGAAUGACUAAGGUUUCCUGGGGAAGGCUCGUCCUCCCAGGGUUAGUCGGGACCUAAGUCGAGGCCGAGAGGCGUAGACGAUGGAUAACAGGUUGAGAUUCCUGUACUAGUUAAGUGCGUUUGAGCAAUGGAGGGACGCAGGAGGCUAAGAUGUGCAUUCUGUUGGAUUAGAAUGUCCAAGCAGUAAGUCUUGUGAAGAGUCAAAUGCUUUUCACUUUAAGGACAAGCUGUGAUGGGGAGCGAAAUUUAGUAGCGAAGCGUCUGAUGUCACACUGCCGAGAAAAGCUUCUAGUGAGUACUUAACUACCCGUACCGCAAACCGACACAGGUAGUCGAGGAGAGAAUCCUAAGGUGAGCGAGUGAACUCUCGUUAAGGAACUCGGCAAAAUGACCCCGUAACUUCGGGAGAAGGGGUGCUGAUCGCAAGAUCAGCCGCAGUGAAUAGGCCCAGGCGACUGUUUAUCAAAAACACAGGUCUCUGCAAAAUCGUAAGAUGACGUAUAGGGGCUGACGCCUGCCCGGUGCUGGAAGGUUAAAAGGAUGGGUUAGCUUCGGCGAAGCUCAGAAUUGAAGCCCCAGUAAACGGCGGCCGUAACUAUAACGGUCCUAAGGUAGCGAAAUUCCUUGUCGGGUAAGUUCCGACCCGCACGAAAGGCGUAACGAUCUGGGCACUGUCUCAACGAGAGACUCGGUGAAAUUAUAUUGUCCGUGAAGAUGCGGACUACCCGCGACAGGACGGAAAGACCCCAUGGAGCUUUACUGUAGCUUGAUAUUGAGUGUUUGUACAGCUUGUACAGGAUAGGUAGGAGCCAUAGAAACCGGAACGCUAGUUUCGGUGGAGGCGUUGGUGGGAUACUACCCUCGCUGUAUGACCACUCUAACCCGCACCACUAAUCGUGGUGGGAGACAGUGUCAGGUGGGCAGUUUGACUGGGGCGGUCGCCUCCUAAAAAGUAACGGAGGCGCCCAAAGGUUCCCUCAGAACGGUCGGAAAUCGUUCGUAGAGUGCAAAGGCAGAAGGGAGCCUGACUGCGAGACCUACAAGUCGAGCAGGGACGAAAGUCGGGCUUAGUGAUCCGGU
rnacentral:rRNA from 1 species